rnacentral:lncRNA from 1 species
AUAAAGAAGGGGAAAGGGGAAAAGCACUAGAAACAAAGAUGAUCAGUCUGGAGAUUUGGCCAAUAAUUGAGCACUUGCCGCUUCGAAGAGGAACGUGAACACUCAUAAAUCCACUAAUAAGGUCUUUGGUCUUCCACCCACUCGUUCACAUUUUCUCGCACACCCUCAACGGUCACCUGCCUCUUACAACUAAAACCCUCAAUCUCUCUCGCUCUCUACCGACUGUAGAAAAGAAAAUGUGCUUCCUCGGCGUUGAACAUAAGGCUUUUAUCGGGCCCAUUCCCGCAAGGGACACCAUCUAUUAUUACCCAUAAAAAAUCGUCUAGUGCAGGGUGCGUCACUGCCCAUUGGCAUCACUGACCAGCUUUUGUCGAUGACAUAUCCACUCACGAUCUAACUAGUCCGACUUCAUCCAACAACUUUGACCACAUUAUCAGUGAGCUUUCCAACUUUGAAUAUACCUUUUCUUCUUUCAAUCCACUUUCUUUCUGUCAAAACAGGGUGCCUGUAACCUGUUUCAAGUGAUCAAAUUAAAAUAAAAUACCCACUGCUUCUUAAACAAUUCACGAGGCCCCUCAACCUUUAAACCCAGUUAACUGAUCUGUGUUGGAUUCUAUACAUGGGAUUUGAUUGCUGCGUGUGUAUAUAUCUUGAUAGCAAGUCAUUGGCCCCCGUCAUUACAAGAGGAUGCUGCCCAACUUGCCAUCUCCCCCCGAGGACAAGGGCAUUCGAGAAUCAAAUAUGGUCGUCUGAGUAAAAAUAAAGUAGGUUUCCACGUAGCAUGAGAGGGAGGUUUGGGGCGGGGCCGCGGUUGUUUUGAGUUUUGAUUGCGGGUUUUUGCCCUGUUAAUUAGCAUAAGCUAGAGAACAUGUAGUUCAUUGUCUGAAAACGAAUAUUGAAGAAACAUUUGUCUGGUCAUUGAUAA